rnacentral:rRNA from 1 species
CGGAUUGUAGUCUGCAACCCGACUACAUGAAGCUGGAAUCGCUAGUAAUCGCAGGUCAGCAUACUGCGGUGAAUACGUUCCCGGGUCUUGUACACACCGCCCGUCACACCAUGGGAGCCGGAAAUGCCCGAAGCCAGUGACCCAACCUUAGGGAGGGAGCUGUCGAAGGUGGAGCCGGUAACUGGGGUGAAGUCGUAACAAGGUAUC